AUCGCUUCUCGGCACCGAAGUGCUGAGAUCAAAAAGUAGUGUCAAAUCUUAUCAUCUUAAUACCUGGUACAUCUCGCAUAGCGAGAUCCGAUUAUUAAACUGUUUGUUGGAACAUGGUGGAAUGUUCGGAGCUUGUUUCUCUUCUGCCACGAGUCGCCUCAAUAUUGCAGUAUUUAGUGGGAGCGGCUCUUUUAAA